UUGAAAUGUUGGUACAAGUGCUCCUUCUUUUCAAGGUUGAUACAAUGCAUUAACAAUAUGUGUUGAGACUUAAAGAGUACAUUUGGGUGUUCUGGGUUUGCAAGGCCAAGAGGAUGAACUCUGACCGAAUUAAAAGCCUAGUUAGCAGAAAUCCAUGGAAAGAGAGGCCCUCAAUGAUAUAGUUUCUGUUUUCCAGACUGCCCUAAACGCCAUGGAAGCUCCACCAACCAUGAUUUGGUAGUACAACCAAAUGCACUAAGAGGGAAGGAGGGAGCUUGAAAGUAAGUGAGAUGUGGAUGUUGCAGCCUAAGAAUAUGUGCUGAUAGUCUCUCUUGGAACACUUGUCUUCAUUUUUCAAUGGCUUGUUGCUUCCAAAUUUUCCAGGUGUAGCUGUACAAAAUGGGAUUGGGAAGCCUGAUGCAUACAGUCAAGAAGGUUUGUGAUUGUACUAUUGAAGACCCAUCUUUUAGCGGGCAUGCAUCUCUCUUUUCUUCCGCAUGACUUCAUCAUACAAUGCCGCUCUAGGCUUUCACUUGUUUUGUUUUGUAUGUUCAUGACUCGGAAUAGUAUUGUAGACCAUUUGGACUACUUUGAUGUUCAGCUCUUAUGUGGAGAUGUGGGGCUCAUGCUGGGUUGUAAUGGAAGAAGUACAGUAAUGGAUUGCACAGAUCUCAACAACAGCUUUGUCUUAUUAACGGAUCCUUCUCUUACGUCCUAAACUACAUACACAAACUAAAAGCAGUCACAUCUCUGUUAAGAUUUAUUUAGGGGUCAACAGCGAUAUUGUCUGAUAGUUGGUAUUUCAAGCAUAUCUAGUUCUUCAUUUAAAUGCAUGUAGAAAUGAACCUAUUGAAAAUUCCUUGAAUGGGUUUUAGGAAGAAAUCUUAGUCAAAGUCACGCAUUAUCACCCUUCAUGUGAAUAUGAAUCCAGAUUAGGAUGGACACUGUUAAUUUCACCUGAAAUUUCAAGUUUGCUUUUCUCAUGUCAUUGAUUAAACUAUUCUAACUGUAUGUACAGGUCUUGGAAAUUCAUAUUCUAUGUAUCCAUCAAAUAGGAGUGAAACAGAAUCAGCAUUCUCUCAUAUUCGGCAUCGUCAAGUAAUUUCAGUUCCUCUUGUUUUUCAACAUGCUUCAUGUGCACCAAGAAUGCAAAAUGCUAAUUCAACUGAGUUAACUCAGAGGUACAAUGAAUCCAUGGUAUGUUCUAUUUGAAUAACAUGCAUGGGUCUCACAUGCCUAGAUAUAUUGAUGAGAAAUUGUAGUCGGAUAUUCCAAUUUCUGAAAGUGGGGUCCAUGACCGGUUUUCCAUUUGAUGACCCGAUGGGUUCGAUGUCCAUAGUUUUAUGUAGUUUAAUUCAUUACUAACUCUCCAUUAUCUCCUCUUUUUGAUCUUCACAGAUCUUGUGUUCUAUUGUUUUCGAUACUAUGAUUAAUAUGGUGGGUUGUUUUCAAAGUCUAUACUUACACCUUACUUUUGUGUUCAGGGUUUUUUGAAAUAUCUACUGAUUUAUCGGAGGCAGCAAUAGCUCACUGCCAAUUAAUCGUCAUUUACAAGUAAGUUGCCCACAUCCAUAUUGUCACACAUUCCUUCUCUUCAUACAUGGUGCUGGAGGACUACACUAUUGUGGUAGUCACCUUCUUUUAUUUAACUUCUCAGCCACUUGCUUUUUCAUGUGGCAAACCUGUUAUCAGGUAUGCUAUUACUUUUUUUUCAAAAAUUUUGGGUGUUCUCUGCCAUAGUGCAGGUGGUGGGAUGUGCUCUCUGCAUUUUGGUGACAUCCAAAUAGUGAUAUAUAUAUAUUUUUUUUUUGAAAGAUGGGAAACAAAUUUCAUAGUACCGGUUUUGACAUCUUGGUAAAUUCCAAUCAGUUUAAGGAUCCCAAAUAAACUAAGAUUCUAAAGUAGCUUAGCAGUUUACCCAUCACAAAUCGAAAACAUUGGUUUUAUGGAAUUAACACUAUUAUAUAUGAAAAGGAAUUGUUUAAUUUCUAUUAAAAUUAAGGAAGAAUGAAUAACAAUAUUCAAAUUUCUCUUCCUUUUCAUGUUGUGGAUUGUUUUGUUUUUGUUAUUUUCGAUGAAUCGAAGGAGAUUUGCUUUGCGUUUGUGUUUGAUGUCGAGAUUUUGGUAAUUCUUUCGCUUCAAAUCCUUAGAUCUGAGAAGAUUAUUCAAUUUAUGUUAAAAUUCAUGAGGAAAAUGAAAACUGAUGUUGAAGUAUAUGUUUGGUUCCUUUUUUUUGGAUAGAUUUUUUUUAAUAUAUAUAUAUAUAUAGUUCAUGAGAAAAGUUUUUAUUGAAUUUGUUGUGGUUCGUAGAUUUUGAUGAAAUAAGCUCAGUUAUGGACUCAUAUGCAUUGAGAUCUGUCUCGGAUCUGCCUACACCUUUUCGGCUGACUUUCAGUUUCAAGAGCAUGACAAGCAACGCGCAACCUUUUCUCCAUGCUUUGUAAGGUGUUUGAACAUCUCAAAUCUGCCUCCAUAAAAGCAUUCCUUUUGUAGUCCUACAGUAGUCAUUCCAGAUCAGUAGCAUAUCACAAUUCACAGGUGCAACAUGCCCAAACAGAUCUAUGGAAGAAUGGCGAGUCCAUUUUCCUAUUGCUAAUAAAAAAAAGUUGGGUAUUAAUAAUGAUAGAAGCUGGACUACAUUGUCUUAUGACAUCAAAGAAAUGCUUGAAAGAAAUCAGAAAAGCAUAUAAUGCAGCUGGCAAAUAGACAUGGUAUGCAUUAGACCUUAACUUUCAAGAGUGAUAAUGUGCAGCUAUUAAAAGUGGCCUUGGCUUUAAUACUAGCUAUUAACAUAUCAUCAAAGCCUCCCGAAGUUUGAUUCCAAAUGUUUUCUUAAAGUAUUUCUUGCAGAGACCAACUAUUAACAUAUCAUCUAAUCUAUCUAUUUACAGUUGUUGAAUCAGAUCAAGUGUUCAA